GAAAAAGCAGGGGCUCGUCGUUGCCUUGGUGAGCGGGCCUCCCGUAAACUUCAUGGAAAUCAUUUACAUCGUUAUUGGGUGAACCUGUGUUUUAUUUUGUGUCAGAAGUUUCAGUAAAUGAUGGUACAUGA